rnacentral:rRNA from 1 species
AUUGAACGCUGGCGGCAGGCCUAACACAUGCAAGUCGAACGAGCGGCGGACGGGUGAGUAAUGUCUGGGAAACUGCCUGAUGGAGGGGGAUAACUACUGGAAACGGUAGCUAAUACCGCAUACCAUCAGAUGUACCCAUAUGGGAUUAGCUUGUUGGUGGGGUAAAGGCUCACCAAGGCGACGAUCCCUAGCUGGUCUGAGAGGAUGAUCAGCCAAACGGGAACUGAGACACGGGCCAGACUCCUACGGGAGGCAGCAGUGGGGAAUAUUGCACAAUGGGCGCAAGCCUGAUGCAGCCAUGCCGCGUGUAUGAAGAAGGCCUUCGGGUUGUAAAGUACUUUCAGCGGGGAGGCGUUACCCGCAGAAGAAGCACCGGCUAACUCCGUGCCAGCAGCCGCGGUAAUAC